rnacentral:rRNA from 1 species
UGAGGAAUAUUGGUCAAUGGGCGAGAGCCUGAACCAGCCAAAUCGCGUGAAGGAAGACUGCCUUAUGGGUUGUAAACUUCUUUUAUACAGGAAUAAAAAAGGGGACGUGUCCCUUAUUGCAUGUACUGUAUGAAUAAGCAUCGGCUAACUCCGUGCCAGCAGCCGCGGUAAUACGGAGGAUGCGAGCGUUAUCCGGAUUUAUUGGGUUUAAAGGGUGCGCAGGCGGGCUUUUAAGUCAGCGGUGAAAUCUCGGGGCUUAACUCCGAAACUGCCGUUGAAACUGGGAGUCUUGAGUAUGGAUGAAGUAGGCGGAAUUCGUUGUGUAGCGGUGACAUGCUUAGAUAUAACGAGGAACUCCGAUUGCGUAGGCAGCUUACUAAGCCAUAACUGACGCUCAAGCACGAAAGCGUGGGGAUCAAAACAGGAUUAGAUACCCCUGGUAGUCCACGCCGUAAAACGAUGAUUACUAGUUGUAUGCGAUAUACCGUAUGUGACUAAGCGAAAGCGAUAAGUAAUCCACCUGGGGAGUACGCCGGCAACGGUGAAACUUAAAGG